AGCAGCCGCGGUAAUUCCAGCUCCAAUAGCGUAUAUUAAGUUGUUGCAGGGAAUCUGGAUGUUACUUUGAAAUUAGAGUGUUCAAAGCAGGCCUAUGCUCGAAUACAUUAGCAUGGAAAAUAGAAUAGGACGCGUGGUUCUAUUUGUUGGUUAUAGGACCGCCGUAAUGAUUAAUAGGACAGUCGGGGCAUCAGUAUUCAGCUGUCAGAGGUGAAAUUCUUGGAUUUGCUGAAGACAACUACUGCGAA
rnacentral:rRNA from 1 species